CUACGGGUGGCAGCAGUGGGGAAUAUUGCACAAUGGGCGCAAGCCUGAUGCAGCCAUGCCGCGUGUAUGAAGAAGGCCUUCGGGUUGUAAAGUACUUUCAGCGGGGAGGAAGGGAGUAAAGUUAAUACCUUUGCUCAUUGACGUUACCCGCAGAAGAAGCACCGGCUAACUCCGUGCCAGCAGCCGCGGUAAUACGGAGGGUGCAAGCGUUAAUCGGAAUUACUGGGCGUAAAGCGCACGCAGGCGGUUUGGUAAGUCAGUUGUGAAAUCCCCGGGCUCAACCUGGGAACUGCAUCUGAUACUGGCAAGUUUGAGUAUCGUAGAGGGGGGUAGAAUUCCAGGUGUAGCGGUGAAAUGCGUAGAGAUCUGGAGGAAUACCGGUGGCGAAGGCGGCCCCCUGGACGAAGACUGACGCUCAGGUGCGAAAGCGUGGGGAGCAAACAGGAUUAGAUACCCGUGUAGUC
rnacentral:rRNA from 1 species